rnacentral:rRNA from 1 species
GAUUUAUUUUUAAAAUUAAAAUUUUUAAAAAUAAUAAUGUAAGAUUAAAAUAAUGAUAUCAUCUUACUAUUAGUGUCGUCCAAAACUGGUGCCAGAAGACACGGUAAUGCCAGAGACGCAAACGUUAAUCAUCUUGAAAAGGCGUAAAGGGUUUGUAGGCUGUUUUAAAAAUUUUUAAGACCAAAUUUUACUAUUAUAUAUUAAAUUUAUUCAUGUUCUUCUUUUGAUUAAAUCAAAAGGAAAAAUAAAAUAAAAAAAAAAUAUUAUAUUUAAUUUUAAAAAUGAAUUAAAACUAGAAUCUAAAAGAGGAGGGAGUCUGUAGAACAUAUAGAGUAGGGUUAAAAUCUGUAAAUCCUAUAUAGAAUACUAAAGGGCGAAGGCAAUUCUCCAAUAAAGAUUGACGCUGAGAAACGAAGGGGAGGAAAAGAAAUAGGAUUUGAUACCCUGGUACUCCUU